AAUUCAAAUUAAAUUUUGAAUUCAAAUGGACACCAACUCAUCCCUUAUCCACUAAAGGCAUGAGGCAUGGCUUAAAUUGUGCAUGGAGUGAUUUCAUGAGAAAUUUUUUCUCAUGUAAUAAAUGGGGCGUAAAAAAAAGGGAUAAGGUGCAAAGAUUGAUUGCCCAUUCAAAUUCAAACUUUAUUUUGAAUUUGAAUGG
rnacentral:lncRNA from 1 species